rnacentral:rRNA from 1 species
GACGAACGCUGGCGGCGUGCUUAACACAUGCAAGUCGAACGGAAAGGCCCUGCUUUUGUGGGGUGCUCGAGUGGCGAACGGGUGAGUAACACGUGAGUAACCUGCCCUUGACUUUGGGAUAACUUCAGGAAACUGGGGAUAAUACCGGAUAGGAGCUCCUGCUGCAUGGUGGGGGUUGGAAAGUUUCGGCGGUUGGGGAUGGACUCGCGGCUUAUCAGCUUGUUGGUGGGGUAGUGGCUUACCAAGGCUUUGACGGGUAGCCGGCCUGAGAGGGUGACCGGCCACAUUGGGACUAAGAUACGGCCCAGACUCCUACGGGAGGCAGCAGUGGGGAAUAUUGCACAACGGGCGGAAGCCUGAUGCAGUAACGCCGCGUGCGAAAUGACGGCUCUCUGGUUGUAAACCGCUUUCGCCUGUUACGAAGCGUGAGUGAGGGUAAUGAGUAAAGAAGCACCGGCUAACUACGUG